rnacentral:tRNA from 1 species
GGGGUUGUGGCUCAGCAAUAGAGCGCUCACCUAGUGCGUGAGAGGCCCUGAGUUUGAUUCUCAGCACCA